rnacentral:rRNA from 1 species
CUGGACGGUCAAAGCGACUUGGUCACACCCGAUCCCUUUUCGAACUCGGAAGUUAAGCAAGUCUACGUUUUGCACGGUACUGCGCUUACGCGCGGGAACUGCAGAAAGCUGUCCACU